CUGUGGUCCUUCUUCCGCUACUUAUAUAUGGUUUUAAGCUUGGUAUAACAGGAGCCGCAAUUUCUACAGUCGCAUCCCAGUACUCAACCUAUUGAUGCACAUGGACAUGAUGACUCUCUAGAGUUUAUGGACCAACCAACCUGUAAUCAUGGACCUUAUUGUCUUGUAGACCAUUUGGUGUUUCGAGUGUUUUGGAGCUUGCACUUUGUGCAUGUAGAUACAAACUUGUGUGUUCUGGACCAUCUGAAGUCUCUCAUAGUAACCAAUAGUCCUUAUCUUUU